rnacentral:lncRNA from 1 species
GCAGGGCUACUGACAGACGGGUGGUGUGGCUCCACGACUGGGAAGUGAACCUGGGCUGCUGAAGUGGUGAGCCCUGAACUAUAACCACUAGGCCAUCGGGGCUGGCUCUCAAAACGUUUUCGGUAGCCAUUGAGGAGAAGAUUAGCCCUGAGCUAACAUCUACUGCCAAUCCUCCUCUUUUUGCUGAGGAAGACUGGCUCUGAGACAACAUCUGUGCCUAUCUUCCUCUGCUGUAUAUACGGGACGCCUGCCACAGCAUGGCGUGACAAGCGGUCCAUGUCCGCACCUGGGAUCCGAACCGGCAAACCCUGGGCCGCCGAGAAGUGGAAUGUGCGAACUUAACCAUUGCGCCACCAGGCCGGCCCCCAUAACUUACUUUAAAAUCAGGAAAAAGAACCCCCAUACGUGUUGGUGUUUCGAUUUGAUCGACUCAGAGGUGGUUAAAAUGCGCAGUCAGUGGAUGUGGAAGGCCGCGGCCGUGUGCAGUGACCUAGUGUGGGAGUGGAGUCUGGGACCGCAGUCUGGGCUCAGGGUGAACCAGGGGAUGAGCAAGCGCGAGGGAGGCGUUUUCCAGGAGAGCUGAGAGGAAAGGACAUCCGUGUGUCUGUGGGGUCCUUUGGGCCAAGGUUAAGUAAAUCCUGCUGUUUGAGACGCUGUCCGCUGACAGGCGAGCUCAGGGCUGCUGACCUGGUUUCCAGGCUGCUUGUGUUUGGGGACUGGUCUGGGAGCCCUCUCGCAGAGCCCUGCCGCUUCCCCUGUCUUCUCUGCCAGGGUGUGGCUGUUGGAGGUGGCUGGAGGUGACUGAGUCCUGGGAGGUGAGUGGGCGGAGGAGCCUGGGAGCCACCCCUAAUCAGCCUCUGAAUCUCUGGAGCAAAGUUAUUAGGGUCCUGUCCAGACAAGCUGUUGUCACCCAUGUCCCAACUCCACUCCUUUCAUCCCUUCUUGCCUUCUAUUUGUAUUUCCCGUGCAGGUUGCCUCUGCUGGAUACCCACGCCCUCAUGUGCUGCUGGGGAGUGAUGCAGGGGUGAGUGGGUGGGGGCAUAAACUGACUCUCAUCUGGAGUUAUUAGCAGCUUUGAACUAGAGCAAGCAGACUAUUCAAAUCCUGCCUAUCAACUCCUCAGCUGUGUGAUCUUAGGCAAGUCAUUUUGCCUCUCUGGGCUUGUUACUCAUCGAUGAAAUGGGGAUAAUUCUUUCUACCUCACUGAUUUGACUGGCUUAAUGAAGUCAUGGAUGGGAAUAUAAUUUAUAAGCUUUAUAAUGUUGGGCACCUAUGAAGGCAGCUUGUUAUUGAAGAGAUUGAUUUUGCCUGAUGAAUGUUUCUCUCAGAGGCCUGGGCACUGUAACUCCUACAUGUCCCCAAUAACCCUGGAAUGACUUGGUGUCAUCAAUAUAAUAAAAAAGUGCAACACAAUAAAAUUGAUACCAGCCAGCAUUUGUUCUGAAUUUUUAAAUCUGGUGCUUGCCAUUUUUACCAAGUCUUCUCACCUGUGGUCCCCAGCAACCUAGGCUUGGAGAAAACAGGAGGGGCUUUGGCUUCUAAUGCAUUUGGCUUCCUAUCCCAGCUCUGCCACUGUGUUAGGCAGCUAUUGCUGUAAUAGUGCUUUGUAACAACCACCCUUAAACUUGAUGGCUUACGACAACAAAUGCUCACAGGUCAACGGCACCUCUGGUGAUACGGUGAGCUCUGCUCCAGGCAGUGGGUCAGCUGGGCUUGGCUCCGGCUGACAAGCUGGGUUCAGGGCUGUUCCACUUUCAGUCUAGGGUUCAGACUAAAUGGGCGGCAGUUCCCUGGGGUGUGCUCUUCUUAUGAUGAUCACGGGCACCCAAGCCUCAGCCAAACCACACAGCACAUUUAAAGCCUGUACACGCAUCACAUCCUUCCACCAGCAUUCCACCUGCCGGAGCAGGUCACGUGGAUAAGCCGCACUGAUGGGGCAGGAAUAAACUCCACCCCAGUGGGAGGUGCUACCAAACUGCAUGGCAAGGGCUGUGACGUAUGAUCCUAGUAGGGAAUCCAGUGAUGCUUGUACUUUGUCUACUUAACUCUCUGAGCCUCUGUUUCCUCAUCAGUGAAACAGAAAUCUCUGCUUUGCAGAGUUAGACCUAAUUUAUGUAAAUUUCCUACUGCAUAGUUAGUACUCAAUGGAUGGGAGCUAUUAUCAGCUCCAUUUUAGAGAUGAGAACACCGGGGCCUUUAGGUGGUGUGGGCCCAGGUUGCUAGAGAAGGACCACACAGGUCUUUGGAGAUAUGUUGGAGUGACGUGGGCGAUCGAUUCUGUGACUUUGGCGGUGAGGAGCCGAUGAGCUGAAGAAGGUGAGGACAGCCCUUACCGUCCUCCCCGACAGGGACCUUUCUGUGAGUGGUCAAGGGACCCUUCUUAACAGUGUAAACUUGGGGGUGCCCGUUACCACAGUCCUGGUGGUGGCGAUGUCCGUCUUCCUCACUGGACUGAACUCUGAUGCCCCACGUCCUCUUCAUCCCUGGCUCCCUGGAAGGCACCUCGUAGAAGGCUCGGCAACUGAAGGACUCUGAGUAAGUGUUUGCACACUGACUCUUCCUGUCCUCCACGCUCUUCUCUCCACGACAUUCCGAGAGACAGAAUGGGACCAGCGAAAGGACUUUUGGCUCACCCACAGUGGGAUCCUGACCAAACCAGACACCAGCCCAUGCAGGGCCUCAGUUUCCCCAUGUGUGGAACAGGCAGGUAGGGCUUCAUGCUGUCCUGCAACCUGGACUUUCUGAGUCAUUCUCAUUCACAGUUACUCCUUAUGACAAAGGCUGCUGGCUGGCCACCACGAUGUGUUCUCUUCUUCCUCAGCAACGGGCUGCCCAAGCACAG